GGGCGUUGAUGAUUCCAAUCUUCGUGAAAACCUCCGGUAGAAGCAUUCCGGCGACACCAAGCAUCGCCCACCGCCCAUUCACCAGCUCCGCUUGUACAUACCACCUCAAAUUCUCUGGGUCUUCCGCUAAUCCCAACGGGUCAAAUCCAUUGUCGCCGGGAAGACUGAAUUUCGAUUAAUCAAUUGGAUUAGAGAAAACCCAAAUUUACAAAUUCCCAAAGUAAAUUAGGGAGGUGAAAAUUACCUGCCGUUUAAAUACAUCGGAGAUGGGAGACCAGGCAACCAUUCUCCUUUCUUGGCUUCAACCUUGAAAGAUGAAGACGAAGAAGCAGAAACUGGCUUAACCGAGAGCACACGUUGGAGUUUACCGGAAGAACCGGAAAGGAAUCUUGAUCGGGCGGCACAUGGCCGGAAAACGGCGGCAGAAGCUUGAGUGGUGACAGUGGCCAUUUCUCCUGAAUGAUGUUUUGGAUUGAGGAAGAAAAUGG
rnacentral:lncRNA from 1 species